CCUACGGGUGGCAGCAGUGAGGAAUAUUGGUCAAUGGACGAGAGUCUGAACCAGCCAAGUAGCGUGAAGGAUGACUGCCCUAUGGGUUGUAAACUUCUUUUAUAUGGGAAUAAAAUGUUCCACGUGUGGGAUUUGUAUGUACCAUAUGAAUAAGGAUCGGCUAACUCCGUGCCAGCAGCCGCGGUAAUACGGAGGAUCCGAGCGUUAUCCGGAUUUAUUGGGUUUAAAGGGAGCGUAGGUGGAUUGUUAAGUCAGUUGUGAAAGUUUGCGGCUCAACCGUAAAAUUGCAGUUGAAACUGGCAGUCUUGAGUACAGUAGAGGUGGGCGGAAUUCGUGGUGUAGCGGUGAAAUGCUUAGAUAUCACGAAGAACUCCGAUUGCGAAGGCAGCUCACUGGACUGCAACUGACGCUGAGGAGCGAAAGCGUGGGUAGCAAACAGGAUUAGAUACCCUAGUAGUC
rnacentral:rRNA from 1 species